ACGAACGCUGGCGGCGUGCCUAAUACAUGCAAGUAGAACGCACAGUUUAUACCGUAGCUUGCUACACCCUAGACUGUGAGUUGCGAACGGGUGAGUAACGCGUAGGUAACCUGCCUGGUAGCGGGGGAUAACUAUUGGAAACGAUAGCUAAUACCGCAUAAUAUUGAUUAUUGCAUGAUAAUUGAUUGAAAGAUGCUAUUGCAUCACUACCAGAUGGACCUGCGUUGUAUUAGCUAGUAGGUGAGGUAACGGCUCACCUAGGCGACGAUACAUAGCCGACCUGAGAGGGUGAUCGGCCACACUGGGACUGAGACACGGCCCAGACUCCUACGGGAGGCAGCAGUAGGGAAUCUUCGGCAAUGGACGAAAGUCUGACCGAGCAACGCCGCGUGAGUGAAGAAGGUUUUCGGAUCGUAAGCUCUGUUGUAAGAGAAGAACGGGUGUGAGAGUGGAAAGUUCACACUGUGACGGUAUCUUACCAGAAAGGGACGGCUAACUACGUG
rnacentral:rRNA from 1 species